AUGUGGAAGAACCUAUGGGCCCUACCACUGGCAGGGAAAAUUUUACACUUUUUAUGGCGACUAGCAAACAAUAGCCUCCCGCUCAGAAUGAAGAUCAAGAGAAGAGGCAUAGAACUAGAUACAAGAUGCCCGGUAUGUCUUAGAAUGGAUGAAGAUGGGGGCCAUUGCUUUCUAAAGUGCAAAUCAGUUAAGGCUCUAUGGAGAGCAGCUCAACUGGAAGACACACGUGAAUUACUAGUUAACUGUCCAAAUGCUAAUUCUGUGAUGCAGGAAAUACUCAAACAGGAUGAAGAUACUUGCAUAAGGACAUGUGUUUUGCUAUGGACCUGGUGGGGUGAGAGAAACAAAGCAAAUCAGGGAAACAAGAUGCGAAGCCUAGAGGAGAUAUAUCACUCUUAUCAGCUUCAUGUAUUGAUUGUCAGGAGAACUUGA
rnacentral:rRNA from 1 species